CACAGCAACUUGGGGAGUCCCGCAGGCGGGGCUGAGAGGACGGUAGCCAUGACCGUCGACCCAUUGCACCUGAUCCGGAUCAUGCCGGCGCAGGGAUAUGGUUGCGAGCGAACAGC
rnacentral:ncRNA from 2 species